rnacentral:sRNA from 1 species
GGGGCAACACCAACCACUCACCGCCAACUUCGGAGCAAUCCGCAAUCAUCGAUCGAUCGACAAUCUGUCGGCGUCGUCUCACGAAGCCUGCUUCCUGAGGUUUCUGCAAACGCGUUUUCAGCCCCACGCUACAACCACAUGUAAGGAGAAGAAUCGCCUUGCUGGAUGGCAGCAGGAACAGUUUCACUGCACAAAACACAGCAUGUGGCUCCGUUUCCUUGAGGUUUGGCUCACUGCAAGGCUUUUAUCGAGCCCUGUGUUCCACAGAACUGUGAGGCAAGUGCACAAGAAGGUUCAGGAGAUUCGGUAUGGGAAAUCUCCGGAGGAUAUGGGAGGCACCAAUAUCGAUAAACCAGAAGGUAGCUUCAAACGCUUUUUCGAGUUGUUCCGUGAAGAGCUGAAAAAUCAAACUGGGAGGGGACCUCCAAAGUCAUAACCCACCCAAGGAGACGGAAAAUUAUAAAUACCACCCCCGUGCCUAUAUUCUUAUAUUGGAGUCGUUCUCCUGUGCGUUCCAUGGACGUCCAUUACGCCCCGCGUUCCCACCUCCAAUGGUACGAUAAAAUAUAGUCAUAACAUAUACUCCAAUGAUAUUGUUUGGAUUCGAUAAAAGGAAAAGCCACACCCUACUCACGAGUGUCAAUUGGAUAUCCGGAUAAAGAUUGGGCUGCUUCUGCUUCACAUACCGUGCGAUGCGUCCCUCAUUCUAUCCGAAGAGUAAUUCGUUUUGUGCUUUCCCGCCGUGAAUGCUAGCUGUGUCAAAUGCCAACCACAUACAGCUUGGCCCUGCGUGCGAAGAAUAUGGGCAUACAAAAUUGCAAACUACUAGACAACGUAACAUUUUUCUUUGUUCUCUUAUCCUUCAUAUUUCCCCUCAAUUUAUCUGCUCAGCUUCGUGUGGCGCAAAAACCUUCACGUUUUAACUAAUUGCAUUGGUAUUUUACAAAUGGCCUUUUGCCCUUGUUUUGGUUUCACGUUUUUUCCAGCGCUUUACGGAGUACCGGUGUUACUACACCUUAUAAAGGGAAAGGAGAAAAUGGCAGUUCAUCACUGUUAACAUUCCUUUGUUGCAUGCAGUAAUCUGUUCGAAGCUGUUUCACGGAAUAUUCCUGCAAAGAAACUCUCAAUAUAUACAGUGAAGAAUUUCAGGAAUAAAAAUAUAAACCAAGGAAACAAAGUGACAAAAUCAACGCAGAAACAAAGAGCUGUGAUGAAAUCAGCCAUGAUAUCAGGAAAUUCAAACCCCAAAAUUGGUGCCAAAUAAAUACACGAAAUGAAGAAUUGUAAUGUGACCUGAUUUUAUCGAACCAAUCUACAAGCAAUCAGGCUAGGAGACAAGCUAGCACAGGCCUCAAGAAUUGAAAUAACAAAAAAUACAAAAGAGUUAUCAAACUACCAAGGCUUUAAACUAGUGAUGGUGGAAGCGUCUCUUAUGCAUGCGGGCAUGGGCCUGAGCAGGUGCGGUCUCAACAGCAGCAGCAGCAGCUGUGAUGGUCUCUAUAACUGUUUGCUGAUAAUAGUUAAUCUUGUACACUGAGUUGCCGUUGGUGGACCAGCUCGUUGCCACUAUUUCCCCAGCGGGACACUCGCCGUCGGGGGCAUCAGUCACCCCGGGUGGAGGCACCUCGGUAGGUUGUGGGUCGACUGGUUUAACGACGGGUGGGUUGGUGGGCGUGGGUAGUUCGGUUUCGGGAUACCCGGUUGGUGUCUCGCAACCAGGCUCGUGGUCUUCGGGGGGAGGUUGGUUGCCUGGCGUCUCGUCAGUUGGUGGCUCGUUGUCGGGCUUGUCGUCAGUGGGUGGCUUAUUUCCGGGCUUGUCGUCGGUUGGUGGUUUGUUGCCCUUGUCGUCAGUGGGCGGUUUGUUGCCGGGCUUGUCGUCAGUGGGCGGUUUGUUGCCGGGCUUGUCGUCAGUGGGUGGAUUAUUGCCGGGCUUGUCGUCAGUGGGUGGUUUGUUGCCGGGCUUGUCGUCAGUGGGCGGUUUGUCGUCGGGCUUGUCGUCGGUUGGUGGUUUGGUUUCUGGGGGCGGGGUGCCCGGUUGUGUGGAACCCGGGCCGUCCGAAAUGGGAACAUUUUCUGGCAGUCCAUUCGCGCGCCGGGUGAAGGUCUCACCCUCAAGUAUUGAUGGAGUGCGCAUCUUGCACUUGUUCUGCACAUUAUCUUUCUGAAGAGUGAACUGUUUACAAUCCUGCACAGUUCCAGAAUUGCUGGUGCAUUCGUCCACUGCCUUCUGCAGGAAUUUUUCAUCCCAGCCAUUCAUGAAAUCGCCGUGAUAGCCAUAACCUGUUGGGUCACCGUUGGAGAAGACGAAUCUUCCAGGCUUCCCUUUAUAAGCGCUGGUAUCCCAAAUCGUCUCAAAAAAUAUAGAUACCAGACGGAUGGGGUAACCGGGAGGACAGAAACCAUUGUCAAUGCGGCUUGGAUAGGCCAUAUGGUCUUUAUGAUUUGGAGAAUCAGUCCGCACUCCAUCCCAACAGGAAGGGAAGAAGAGUUCGGCACGAACUCCGUGCUUGCAAUUGGUGUCAAUAUAAUUUUUAUCAGGCAACGUGUGAGGAAUGUGGUAAGGUUUAGGUUGUUUGUCAUAGUUCAAGCAAGUAAACCCAAUGUUCUUCUGAGCGUCCGUAUAGUUACGUUGGAAGGUGCUGCCAGCAACCAUUCUCAGACCGGGAGGAAACGCAUGGACUUUCUCUUUAGGCUCGUGCCGUUGAAGGUAGUACCUACUGGGUCUCAGCGUUGACCAAGGUGACAAGAAUGUUAAGCAAGGAACCUACACCAGCAUACCGCCAACCUGGUUAAGCAGCUCUGUGGAUUUGUCUGGAUGCUCAAAAUACAAUGCGGGCGCCCAGUAUAGAGACAUAUCUUCCAGAACUUCACAAGACGUGCAUUCAGAUUCCCUGAGCUGCUCAUAUGUGUUGGUCAAGCCAAGAUCUAGGAUGUAUUAGAAACUUGAUGCACACUCGAAAGGGGAUGGAGGAAAGGGGACCCAGUCCCACACGACCGCGGCAUGGCAAACGCCAAAAUGCCAAUGCCGGCGAGAUCGUCGCCGCUAGGACGACAAGUAAACGCAUUGUUGAUAUAAGAGGCCGGCUCUCAUGCAAAUUUGGUGGGCAGGUAUGAGAACGAACCUCUGCCGGGCGAAUGUGUUGGAAAUCUGAGCAGAAUCCACGUCUCUGACCACGGGGAGCAAUGCGAUUAUGCGACAGAUAUCUAUAUAUAAUCUAUACACGCAGCCCUUCCAAAUUGCUGUUCUCGCAAAUGAAAAAGAAUGUAUGCCAGAAUCUAAUUCCAGCAGGAGAUAAGAAAGGAGUGUGAGGGCAAAAUUACCCAAAGAUGGGGCUUCUGGGAAGAAUAUUACGGUUCCAAAGGAGCGGAGUGGCCAACAAGUAUUCGAGAGGGGCCAGCGAUGCUCUUUAAAUCCGGCUAUGAUGGAGAAUUCAAGAAUGGCCAAGACUCAUAAUCUAACGACUGUGUUAAUACUCCGUGUGGCUUUCUUAAGCCUGUUAACUGUCAAAUAUGUCAUUUUCGAAGCAGUAAGCGCUGAGCUUGGCCAACAAAAGAUGAUGUGCCUCGCAUGUUUCAAGCCAGUCAAACCUAUCACCAGUCAACUGCUGUUGGGUAUUGGGGGCCCAUUAUCUACCGGAGAGUAAUUUCCCGGCAAGUAGCCGUUUUCGAGGCGAAUCGCAGCGAGGCAAGGGUUGACAGAAUGUUUUUAGUACUGUACUAUGUACUCUGUACUUGUUCGAAGUGCUAACCGGAACCCUUGUCGACGGUGACCAGUUACAUCUGAGUGAUAAGAUUAAACAGUGUCACAACUCCUCAAUGUGAGGGUGCUUGGACAGUUCAGGCUCAAUGCUUUCUCUCGAGUCUCGAUGCCGAAUGUCUGCCCAAAAUCUCACCGUAUUUCAACCCGGCUCUGUGCUUUAUCAUUGAUAUUUUCACAUACAAGCAUCAAAACUUGGUAUACUUGGUAUAUUCGAAGCGUAUGGGAGCGAUGGAGUCAUAAACUUACUUCCUAGGUGCAUAUGCAUUUUUUUUCCUGCUGAAAUGUAUCAAUUUCUGCCUAGUUCACAGGCUCUUAUCCUUACGAGCUUUUGCUAAAUCAUGGGGCUAGAACGUGAUCAGCCAGGGGCCAAUUUUCAUGCUCGAAGCGCCAGGGAGAGAAAGUCGUUGGCGCGUUACACCUAAUUUAGCAUCGCCGACGGCUGUUUUGCUUAGAACUGAACAAGUUCGAAUGUCAGCUUCAUUUCUGUUUUAAACCACUGCUAGGGGCGGGUUUCCGCGUUUCUCACUACAACAAACUUGUUGGUUUCGUUGGUUCAACAAUAAUGUGCUAGCAACUUAUCAUCCUCGUUCUGGUUUAUUUCUGCAACUCGCCACAUGCGUUCGCUCUGGAGACAGGGAACAAGUUACAAUAUAAGAUGGAGAAAUGUAUCUCAGCAUGCGAGGGGAGUUAAAUUGUAUACAAUGUAUAAAGGGCCAAGAUGUCAUGCAGGAUAUUCGGGUUAAACUUGAACUUUGGUUUUUGAAAUCCCAACAUUUUCCAUCCGAGAGGAAGGGUUGCGAGCUAAGACAGAGAAACAUCGAGUAUUUAGCCCAAAACCAACGCGUU